CCUACGGGAGGCAGCAGUGGGGAAUAUUGCACAAUGGGGGAAAGCCUGAUGCAGCGACGCCGCGUGAGUGAAGAAGCGUUUCGGCGCGUAAAGCUCUGUCAGCGGGGAAGAAACACGUUUCGCGAGAGCCGGGGACGGUAACCGACAAAGAAGACCCGGCUAACUACGUGCCAGCAGCCGCGGUAAUACGUAGGGGGUAAGCGUUGUCCGGAUUGACUGGGUGUAAAGGGAGCGUAGAGGGGGAGACAAGUCUGGAGUGAAAGGCUGGGGCCCAACCCCGGGACUGCUCUGGAAACUGGCUGUCUGGAGUACAGGAGAGGUAAGUGGAAUUCCUGGUGUAGCGGUGAAAUGCGUAGAUAUUAGGAGGAACACCAGUGGCGAAGGCGGCUUACUGGACUGUAACUGACGUUGAGGCUCGAAAGCGUGGGGAGCAAACAGGAUUAGAUACCCCUGUAGUC
rnacentral:rRNA from 1 species